GCCAGCAUGGUGUAGUGGUUUUAGUGUUGGACUGGGACUCUGGAGACCAGGGUUCAAAUCCUGGUUCAGCCG